rnacentral:rRNA from 1 species
AUUGAACGCUGGCGGCAUGCUUUACACAUGCAAGUCGAACGGCAGCUCUGUCUUCUUCCUGUCGUCGAUUGUCGAACGUGUGUGUAAUUCAUCGGAACUUGCCCUGUUUUUUUUUAUAGCUCCUCUAAAGCCGUUUUAAUACCGCAUACGACCUGUUUUUGAAAUCUGGUGUUCUUCGUACCUCUCGCUUUUUUAUCUGCCGAUGGCAGAUUUGCUAGUUGGUGGGGUAAAGUCCUACCAAGGCGACGAUCUGUAGCUGGUCUGAGAGGACGACAAGCCACACUGGGAGUGAGACACGGAAAAGACGACUACGGGAGGAAGCAGAGGGGAAUGGUGGACAAUGGGCGAAAGCAUGAUACAGCAAAGCCGAGUGUGAGAUGAAGGACUUGGGGUUGUAAAGAAAGUUUGGGGGGAAAGAAAAGGAGUGAGAGAAAAAAAAGGUUAGAUGACGGUAACAGAAGAAAAAGCACCGGCUAACUACGUG